CCUACGGGGGGCAGCAGUGAGGAAUAUUGGUCAAUGGGCGGAAGCCUGAACCAGCCAAGUCGCGUGAGGGAAUAAGGCCCUACGGGUCGUAAACCUCUUUUGCCGGGGAGCAAGCGCGGGGACGUGUCCCGGCCCGGAUAGUACCCGCAGACAAAGCCUCGGCUAACUCCUUGCCAGCAGCCGCGGUAAUAGGGAGGAGGCGAGCGUUAUCGGGAUUUAUUGGGUUUAAGGGGUGCGUAGGCGGGCCGGAAAGUCAGCGGUAAAAGCCCGGGGCUCAACCCCGGCGAGGCGUUGAAACUGUCGGACUAGAGAGGGCGAGAAGUACGCGGAAUGCGCGGUGUAGCGGUGAAAUGCAUAGAUAUCGCGCAGAACUCCGAUUGCGAAGGCAGCGUACCGGCGCCGGACUGACGCUGAGGCACGAAAGCGUGGGUAUCGAACAGGAUUAGAUACCCGAGUAGUC
rnacentral:rRNA from 1 species